GAGUUUGAUCUUGGCUCAGGAUGAACGCUGGCGGCGUGCCUAAUACAUGCAAGUCGAACGAACAGAUAAGGAGCUUGCUCCUCUGACGUUAGCGGCGGACGGGUGAGUAACACGUGGGUAACCUACCUAUAAGACUGGAAUAACUCCGGGAAACCGGGGCUAAUGCCGGAUAACAUGUUGAACCGCAUGGUUCUACAGUGAAAGACGGUCUUGCUGUCACUUAUAGAUGGACCCGCGCCGUAUUAGCUAGUUGGUGGGUAACGGCCUACCAAGGCGACGAUACGUAGCCGACCUGAGAGGGUGAUCGGCCACACUGGAACUGAGACACGGUCCAGACCCCUACGGGAGGCAGCAGUAGGGAAGUCUUCCG
rnacentral:rRNA from 1 species